rnacentral:rRNA from 1 species
GAUGAACGCUGGCGGCGUGCCUAAUACAUGCAAGUCGAGCGAACAGACGAGGAGCUUGCUCCUCUGACGUUAGCGGUGGACGGGUGAGUAACACGUGGAUAACCUACCUAUAAGACUGGGAUAACUUCGGGAAACCGGAGCUAAUACCGGAUAAUAUAUUGAACCGCAUGGUUCAAUAGUGAAAGACGGUUUUGCUGUCACUUAUAGAUGGAUCCGCGCCGCAUUAGCUAGUUGGUAAGGUAACGGCUUACCAAGGCAACGAUGCGUAGCCGACCUGAGAGGGUGAUCGGCCACACUGGAACUGAGACACGGUCCAGACUCCUACGGGAGGCAGCAGUAGGGAAUCUUCCGCAAUGGGCGAAAGCUUGACGGAGCAACGCCGCGUGAGUGAUGAAGGUCUUCGGAUCGUAAAACUCUGUCAUUAGGGAAGAACAAAUGUGUAAGUAACUAUGCACGUCUUGACGGUACCUAAUCAGAAAGCCACGGCUAACUACGUG